UAUAAAUACUCUUCAGACUCCUUGAACGGUCUCAUUUCGUCAGUCUUCAGGAUCGUUUUGGUAAAGUAGCUUGCUGAUAUACUCUGUCGACGGUGCUUAGCAGCAAUGAAGGAAAUGACAGCCAAAUUUGGAGUCUAUCUUGAGUUGAGCCAGAACUCUGUGCGCCAGAAGCUCUUCCACGUGGGAAAAGCUUAACGUGAAGAUGUUUAAUUCAAGAUCAAACUCGGCUUCAAGGAGCAACUGAGUUACCCUGAAUACCCAAGAGUUCCUGAGCUUGUGGUCAUUUGCCAAGUCAUGUUAGUUUUUUUCAAAUAUCUAAUUGAGUCAACUAGAAUAACCUUGGCAUGCAUUUAGUUUUAUAGUGAGUGGUUAAUUUCACCACUUGCAAUGCCUACUCCACUUUAUUGAUAUAAUCCUCAGUGCUUCGUAUUUAAAGGUUCCUGUGCUGUAUUGAGGCCUAUCCCGACAGACUCCUCACUGUGGGCCCUAGUCGUUGGAAAUGCCUCAAAGAACAAAUUUGUGGUUUCGCUUUACCCACAGGGCUACUGCCAUUAGCCCUGUGAGAUAUUACUACAGAACAAAUACUCAAAAUUGCAGCUCUGUUUUAAAGUGACACUGUUUCUAAUGACCUGCUUGUCUGGUGUAGGUCUACCAAAUGGCCACGGGGUGGCUCAAGCCCUGAUGCAGAGCGGCCCUUUGGCCUGUUGUAUCAUGUGCCAAGGGCUCUGAGAGGGUAAUGAAUUAAGUACACCAGGACUGGUCUUUUGAUGAUCCAGUACACCAGAACUUGGCUGAAUGAUAGAUCUCCAGUGAAGGUUGUGCAUCCCUGGCCAACAAAUGACCAGAGUAAGGUGAUCUGUUUCAGCCCUGCAUGCACCCAUCAAGUUAAGAGGUGUUUGAAGAAAUUAACAAGAUGAAUGCUUUCUUCAAGAUGCAAUUGAAAAUGUAGCUCAAUCUGACCUGUUGAGCUUCUGAUAAUUUCAAUAAAAUGAUUGGUAAUGCAA